rnacentral:lncRNA from 1 species
AUCUACUUUGCUUCGACCAUAAUCCCGAAGACCAAUAGGGCGGAAUACCCUUCUCGGUCAGUCAAGCAGGAAAAUGGCUGUUGGGUCUUCAUCUACUCUGCUUCGACCAUAAUCCCGAAGACCAAUAGGGCGGAAUACCCUUCUCGGUCAGUCAAUCAGGAAAAUGGCUGUUGGGUCUGCUUCGAUCCCGAGGAAGGCCUCGAGACAUGUCUUUAAACUGUAGACUUCUUUCUAACUUGAUCGGUCUGUCAGUCUGACCACUUCGGUAUAGGAUUCUAAGCAGUAUGCCUUCUACCCUUUUCCGAUCAUAGUCAGGUCUUCCCUUGGCAGCAAAAAUCAAUCUUCU